AGCAGCCGCGGUAAUUCCAGCUCCAAUAGCGUAUAUUAAAGUUGUUGCAGUUAAAAAGCUCGUAGUUGAAUUUCGGGAUCAAUACGUCGGUCGUGCUUCGGUACGUACUGGCGUAAUUGAUUUCUCCCUUCUGACGAACCAUGAUGUCAUUAACUUGGUGUCAUGGGAAAUCAGGACUGUUACUUUGAAAAAUUAGAGUGUUUAAAGCAGGCUCACGCUUGAAUACAUUAGCAUGGAAUAAUGAAAUAGGACGUUCGAUCCUAUUUUGUUGGUUUUUAGGAUUCAACGUAAUGAUUAAUAGGGAUAGUUGGGGCAUUAGUAUUCAAUUGUCAGAGGUGAAAUUCUUGGAUUUAUUGAAGACUAACUACUGCGAAAGCAUUUGCCAAGGAUGUUUUCAUU
rnacentral:rRNA from 1 species